GAUGAAGAACGUAUCGAAAUGCGAUAAGUAGUGUGAAUUGCAGAAUUCAGUGAAUCAUCGAAUCUUUGAACGCACAUUGCGCUCCUUGGUAUCCCGAGGGGCAUGCCUGUUCGAGCGUCAUUUCACCACUCAAGCCUGGCUUGGUGUUGGGCGACGUCCUCUUUGGGGACGCGCCUCGAAACGCUCGGCGGCGUGGCACCGGCUUUAAGCGUAGCAGAAUCUUUCGCUUUGGAAGUCGGGGCCCCGUCUGCCGGAAGACCUGCUCGCAAGGUUGACCUCGGAUCAGGCAGGGAUACCCGCUGAACUUAAGCAUAUCAAUAAGCGGAGGA
rnacentral:misc_RNA from 1 species